rnacentral:rRNA from 1 species
AUUGAACGCUGGCGGCAGGCCUAACACAUGCAAGUCGAGCGAGCGGCGGACGGGUGAGUAAUUUCUUGGGAUCUGCCCGAUAGAGGGGUAUAACUACUGUACACGGUGGCUAAUACCGCUUACUGUCGGAUGAACCCAUAGGGGAUUAGCUAGUAGGUGGGGUAAAGGCUCACCUAGGCGACGAUCUCUAGCUGGUCUGCGAGGAUUAUCAGCCACACGGGGACUGAGACACGGCCCAGACUCCUACGGGAGGCAGCAGUGGGGAAUAUUGCGCAAUGGGUGCAACCCUGACGGAGCCAUGCCGCGUGAAUGAAGAAGGCCUUCGGGUUGUAAAGUUCUUUCGGUAGAGAGGCGUUAUCUACAGAAGAAGCAACGGCUAACUCCGUGCCAGCAGCCGCGGUAAUUC